rnacentral:rRNA from 1 species
AUUGAACGCUGGCGGAAUGCUUUACACAUGCAAGUCGAGCGGCAGCGCGGGGCAACCUGGCGGCGAGCGGCGAACGGGUGAGUAAUGCAUCGGAACAUGUCCAUGUCGUGGGGGAUAGCCCGGCGAAAGCCGGAUUAAUGCCGCAUACGCCCGAGAGGGGAAAGUGGGGGACCGCAAGGCCUCACGCGAUUGGGUUGGCCGAUGUCCGAUUAGCUUGUUGGUGAGGUAAAGGCUUACCAAGGCGAUGAUCGGUAGCUGGUCUGAGAGGAUGAUCAGCCACACUGGGACUGAGACACGGCCCAGAUUCCUACGGGAGGCAGCAGAGGGGAAUUUUGGACAAUGGGGGCGACCCUGAUCCAGCCAUUCCGCGUGAGUGAAGAAGGCCUUCGGGUUGUAAAGCGCUUUUGUCCGGAGCGAAACGGUCACGGUGAAUAUCCGUGACUACUGACGGUACCGGAAGAAUAAGCACCGGCUAACUACGUGCCAGCAGCCGCGGUAAUAC